rnacentral:rRNA from 1 species
GACGAACGCUGGCGGCGUGCCUAAUACAUGCAAGUCGAACGAGAGCGACCGGUGCUUGCACUGGUCAAUCUAGUGGCGAACGGGUGAGUAACACGUGGGUAACCUGCCCAUCAGAGGGGGACAACAUUCGGAAACGGAUGCUAAAACCGCAUAGGUCUUCGAACCGCAUGGUUUGAAGAGGAAAAGAGGCGCAAGCUUCUGCUGAUGGAUGGACCCGCGGUGCAUUAGCUAGUUGGUGAGGUAAUGGCUCACCAAGGCCGUGAUGCAUAGCCGACCUGAGAGGGUGAUCGGCCACAUUGGGACUGAGACACGGCCCAAACUCCUACGGGGGCAGCAGUAGGGAAUCUUCCGCAAUGGACGCAAGUCUGACGGAGCAACGCCGCGUGAGUGAAGAAGGUUUUCGGAUCGUAAAACUCUGUUGUUAGAGAAGAACCAAGUGCUAGAGUAACUGUUAGCGCCUUGACGGUAUCUAACCAGAAAGCCACGG